rnacentral:rRNA from 1 species
UACGAAGGGGGCUAGCGUUGUUCGGAAUUACUGGGCGUAAAGCGCACGUAGGCGGAUUUGUUAGUCAGGGGUGAAAUCCCGGGGCUCAACCUCGGAACUGCCUUUGAUACUGCAAGUCUCGAGUCCGGAAGAGGUGGGUGGAAUUCCUAGUGUAGAGGUGAAAUUCGUAGAUAUUAGGAAGAACACCAGUGGCGAAGGCGGCCCACUGGUCCGGUACUGACGCUGAGGCGCGAAAGCGUGGGGAGCAAACAGG